rnacentral:rRNA from 1 species
AAAGUCUAAACGACUCUCGGCAACGGAUAUCUCGGCUCUCGCAUCGAUGAAGAACGUAGCGAAAUGCGAUACUUGGUGUGAAUUGCAGAAUCCCGUGAACCAUCGAGUCUUUGAACGCAAGUUGCGCCCGAGGCCUCGGCC